rnacentral:rRNA from 1 species
GAUGAACGCUAGCUACAGGCUUAACACAUGCAAGUCGAGGGGCAGCAUGGUCUUAGCUUGCUAAGGCCGAUGGCGACCGGCGCACGGGUGAGUAACACGUAUCCAACCUGCCGUCUACUCUUGGACAGCCUUCUGAAAGGAAGAUUAAUACAAGAUGGCAUCAUGAGUCCGCAUGUUCACAUGAUUAAAGGUAUUCCGGUAGACGAUGGGGAUGCGUUCCAUUAGAUAGUAGGCGGGGUAACGGCCCACCUAGUCUUCGAUGGAUAGGGGUUCUGAGAGGAAGGUCCCCCACAUCGGAACUGAGACACGGUCCAAACUCCUACGGGAGGCAGCAGUGAGGAAUAUUGGUCAAUGGCGAGAGCCUGAACCAGCCAAGUAGCGUGAAGGAUGACUGCCCUAUGGUUGUAAACUUCUUUUAUAAAGGUAAUAAAGUCGGGUAUGGAUACCGUUUGCAUGUACUUAUGAAUAAGGAUCGGCUAACU